CUCUUUGGUUCCCCCUGUGGCUGCUGCGGGGCUGCGGGGCUGCGGGGCUGCGGGGCUGCGGGGCUGCGGGGCUGCGGGGCUGCGGGGCUGCGGGGCUGCGGGGCUGCGGGGCUGCGGGCGGUGGGAGAUGACGGGGGUGGGAGCGGGAGCGGGAGCAGGGGCGGGAGCGGGAGCGGGAGUGGGAGUGCUCAGCCUCUCGGGUCGCCUGGAUAUUUAUGAAAAGGACGCCAGGGAAAGGGCUCCGCUGUAGACCGAAGGGAUAAGGGUUCGAUUCGGAAGGGAGCGUUAUUUUUAUCCCCUCUCCACAUAAUGGAACGUUUAAAUGGUUAAAUCAAGUACCUUGCAGGAGAGGGUGGGGUGGCCUUGAGAAUACACUCAAGGCCUCAGUACAUGCAGUCUGGAAGUGGGGGAAUCAAGAGCACCCUGUCUCUAGUACUGUCCUCAAUGAUAAGGCGCUGAGGUUCCCAACCUGGACCAAGAAGUACAUAUUCAGGUUCAAAGGGUAAACCAAAACAAAACCUGAGCUCUCUCUCUAGAAUGAAGUGCCUGGUCCCAGUUCACCAUCUAAUAUUUAUGGAAAGCUUAUCAGAGAACAGAAGUGUCAGCAGAGGACUGUAAGUGCUAUGUGAUUGGACGAUGGUGGCCAUAGAAUUUCACCUGCCCAGCACGUAUUCUCUCAUCCUCUCCUCCUCUGCCUUCUUUGGGAGGGAGAAAUCAGAAGGAGUGGGGAUGCAGUUCAGAGAGCAGAGGAGAAGAGAAGAAAAGAAGGAAGAAGGAAGAGGACUAGGGUUGGGUGAGGGGGGAGGACACCAAUGGGAAGAGGGACAGAUCAACUCUAUACACAAAAGUAAAUCAAAACACCAAAAACAGGGGUCUAUGUAAAGAAGCCUCUUCCCGUGAAUUGCUCGUUGCAUAGCUGCAGGGAGGGUGUUUAGGGGCAUAGAGAAUGAAAACAUACCUGUAUUUUGGUGUAGGGAAAUUGUUUCUGUCAAUUCACACCGUCCACACACCACCUCCCACCCCAACCCCGCCACUACCAAAUUCCUCUAAAUAAAAAUAAUUAUGAGAUACAGGCCAACAAAAACGUCAGCGUUAGGCUGUUAUUUAGAGAGAAUUGGAAAGCGUUUGAAUGUGGCCCUGUUGUUUAAUAAACGAUAACAAUGAUUA
rnacentral:antisense_RNA from 1 species